GUGUUUCCAAUGUUAUUUAAAGAAGUGAUAGAAUGAUUUGUGUAUGUCAUAUAACAAGGGACAAAAUCUGUGGCAAUUUUUUAUCCAUCAAAGAUCCGAGUAGAUAUAUGUGACAUGCUGAAAGCACAAGACAGACUUUGUAUCUUUCCAUAAAUUCUAGUCUGUUGGGUGUAUCCAUUGGCAACAUAAUGUGCAAUCCUUUGUCCUAAAUAGUUGGUUAGUAGUACAGGUUCAUAAGUUUUUCUCUAACAAGAAGGUUUGGCUUGAGUUCAUCUCUUUGUACUCCCUUUAGGUUCUCAUU
rnacentral:misc_RNA from 1 species